UACGUAGGUGGCAAGCGUUGUCCGGAUUUACUGGGUGUAAAGGGCGUGUAGCCGGGCUGACAAGUCAGAUGUGAAAUCCGGGGGCUCAACCCCCGAACUGCAUUUGAAACUGUUGGUCUUGAGUAUCGGAGAGGCAGGCGGAAUUCCUAGUGUAGCGGUGAAAUGCGUAGAUAUUAGGAGGAACACCAGUGGCGAAGGCGGCCUGCUGGACGACAACUGACGGUGAGGCGCGAAAGCGUG
rnacentral:rRNA from 1 species